GGCGCUCCAGGCAGCUCUCCUUAAGUUCUCUACCGUUAUGCGUCCAGGUCCAUCUUGUGGUGAAAGUCAAGGGCCGGGGGGGCCGUAGUGACGACACCCGGGUACCCCAGAAACCGGGAAAUGGAAAGCCGAGAAUAACCACUUUGACAAAAACUUGAAAUCAGUUGCUUGAAAUCCAGCACCUCUCGGCCCAGGACCCUCCCUGGGCACAGACAUCCUAUGCGAAGUCCUUUGGGUGGAGGUUCCUCUUCGGAAAGUUUCCUGGGUGUUUUGUCCUGUGAGAAUGGCCCUUCUUGGGUUUGUCACCUGAAAAGACUUGUGAACUUACUCCUUUUUCAACAGAGGUAAAAUAUGUUUAAUGUUCUAGUAGUGCAUACAGUUGUGUACAAUAGAAUAAUUCUUUCACUCUUUCUUCCACUGUGCUUGUGUAUUAAGUUCCCGAGGUUUGUUUUUCACUUUGGGAAAUUUCAAAUAAAAUUCCAGAUAUAGAUUUGCAGAGCAUGUGUGUUCAACUACGAUUAUUUACAAACCAAUUACUUUUCCUCUAAAUAGAAACAACUGACAUCUUUUUCUGAAGAAAAAAAAGAUAUUAGGGGUUUUCUAUUGAACUAGUGAAAGACACCUUUUCUUCCUUUUCAUAUAAAUGCUGGGUUUAUGUGAUUUUGGUGGAUUGUUCAAACACUGGAUUUUUGACAUUUAAAAUAUCCGUGGUGGCCCAAGCAAAUCUGAGGUGGGCCAAGCAAGUCCACUGAGCCCUGUGGUCAGUGACUCAGGCUAAGGCUCCCCUGAGCCUGAAGGGGCAAGUGCCUGAAGGCCCAGUUAUUCUUCCUGGGAAGCCUCCCCCUGCAGGUGUCCUAGCUGCUCACAACCCCCAUGGAAGGAGCUUGCACACUGAGAAGCCGCAGUGCUAGGGAGCUGGGGGCACAUGUGCACAUGGGGGAAGGGGAUGAUGCUCUUUCUGAGCUUUUAGUUGCAGUUCCCUUUGCCCUGUUUGUAGCCAUAGGAUGGAGUUUUACAUACACAAUAUAGGUGCACUUGGAGUGCAGUUGGUGCACAUUGAGAGUCUAUAUUUCCAUUCACUCCCUCCCUGUCCCUUUUAACAUUGUUGUCUUUCAUUUCAUUUAUCUGUAAGCUCUAAUUACUGAAUACAUUGUUACUGUUAUAACUUUGAAGAUAGUGUUACCUGUCAGAUUAAAUAAAAAAAAAACAAAAACAAUUCAUUUCACAUUCAUUCUUUCUCCAACACUCGACCUUUAUCGUUAUCUUUUUCCUGACAUGUUUAACAUUUCUUACAAAGCAGGUAUACUGGUGACAAAUUCCCUAAUUUUUGUGUCAGAAAUUCUCAUUUCUUCUGCAUGUUUGAAAGAUAAUUUUCUCUACAUGGAAUUCUGUUUGGGUAGUAUUUCUUUCACUCUUUAAAUAUUUCACAGACUGUCUUCCUGUUUGCAUAGUUUCUGAAAAGAAGUCUGAUUUCAUUCUUAUCCUUGCUUCCCUAUAUAUAACUAAGGUCCUCCUAGGCCCCCCCCUACUUUUUUUCAAUAUGUUCUUUGUCUUUGAUUUUUCUCAAGUUUGAAUAUGAUAUUUCUAGGUGUGCAUUUUUUUGUUUUUGUCUUGUU